CAACCAAGAUGUCCUUAAGUAGCCGCCAUUAAAGUCUUCUAUGGAAAACAUGAUGUUGGGCAAAGAACAUAAAUCUGGAGACAAGCCUGACUUAGAUUUUAAUCUAGGCUAUGCUACUUACUAACUAAUGUCUCUGAAGCUGGGUUUCCUCAUCUAUAAAAUGGGGCAACAUCGAUUUUAGACGACAUCUAAAUCACAGAAUUUGUGUUAGAAUACAGUGAAUAGCACAAAGAGUUAAAUAAGGAUUAGAACUGAUCAUUAGAAAUAAACUUAUUACUCAUUUCUUGAGCUCACUACUGUAAUUUGCUUGUAUAACUCAUUUAGCAAUCCACAGUCUGGACUCACUCCAUCAUCUCUUAUACUUUGGCCUUAAAUGAUUAUUUAACUUGUGGUAUUUUAAGUUUUAUUUCUCUCUUAGGUUUUGUGCUUCCAAACAACUGAAACCUUUUCAAAAGCCACAACUAUAUGCUAUACCUACUUACUUACAAUUCCACAUAGUUCAGCACAAUGUUACUUAUAAAAGAGGACUCAAAAAAUAUUUCCUCAGUAAAGCAUUUGCUGAAAAUAGUCUAUCCAGAAAAUGAGAAUAACAUUUUAAGGAGCACAUUAACACAAUGGAGCAUCCACGGAAAGGUAAAAGUAGAGAAAAGGAGGGAGGGAGAAGAGGUGUGGGAAUGGGCAGAGUGUGUGGUGGGGGGUUAAGACAAGGAAGGUAGGAAGUGUAUACAAAUUGUUAUAACAGAGAAACUAGAGAUGUUUAGAUGUUUAACCUAAAGAAGACUUCAGAAAGCAUGGUAACUAGAAGAGAAAUAAAUUAUAUGUGACUCUAAAAGCAAAACUAGAACCAAUGACUAAAAUAAAAAGAAAUUCAAGGCCGGGCAUGGUGGCUCAUGCCUGUAAUCCCAGCACUUUCAGAGGCUGAGGCGGGAAGAUCACCUGAGGUAGGGAGUUCGAGACCAACCCGACCAACAUGGAGAAAACCCACCUCUACUAAAAGUACAAAAACUUAGCCAGGCUUCAUGGCGCAUGACUGUAAUCCCAGCUACUUGGGAGGCUGAGGCAGGAGAAUCGCUUGAACCCAGGAGGCGGAGGUUGCAGUGAGCCAAGAUCGCACCACGGCACUCCAACUUGGGCAACAAGAGCGAAACUCUGUCUCAAAAAAAAAAAAAAAAAGAAAAGAGAAGAAAUUCAGCUUAAUAUAAAAUUAAAUUUUAUAAUAUUAGAGCUGCCCAACAAUGGAAUAAAUACGAUUCAUUUAAAAGUACUUUGUAAAAUUAGAUGUACUUAAGCAGAGCUCAAGGUUGAAAUGGUUUUCAGUCCACAUAACAGUAUCUCUAACAAGCCU
rnacentral:lncRNA from 1 species